GACGAACGCUGGCGGUAUGCUUAACACAUGCAAGUCGAGCGAGAAUCGUUUUGCUGAAGGCUUCGGUCUGACGCAGAAUGAGGAAAGCGGCGAACGGGUGAGUAACGCGUGGGCAACCUGGCCUUAAGAAAAGGAUAGCCCCCGGAAACGGGGAGUAAUACUUUAUGAGAAUAGAAAAGGGCAUCCUAUUUCUAUUCAAAGCGCAAGCGCUUAAGGAUGGGCCCGCGUAUCAUUAGCUAGUUGGUGAGAUAACAGCCCACCAAGGCAACGAUGAUUAGCCGGUCUGAGAGGGCGAACGGCCACAUUGGAACUGAGAGACGGUCCAAACUCCUACGGGAGGCAGCAGUGGGGAAUAUUGCGCAAUGGAGAAGAACUCUGACGCAGCAAUACCGCGUGAGCGAAGAAGGUCUUCGGAUCGUAAAGCUCUGUUAUCAGGGAAGAAGAAAAUGACGGUACCUGAUGAGCAAGUCCCGGCUAACUACGUG
rnacentral:rRNA from 1 species